ensembl:lncRNA
GCACUCGAAGGUUCUGCUGCUCUGGGUGGCCUCGCUGCGGGGCACCCACCCCGGGCGACGGUUUUGGGGGUGGGGGAGGGAGCAGAACCUCUCUCUGGGGAGACAGCCCUAAUCAGCCGCUCUCAUUACAAACGCUGAUUAAACUGCAAAUUAUCCAGCAGCGGCCCUGUUCCCGUCUACCAGCAGCUCGUUCAAUAUCAAUUAAGGCCGAGCGGCAAAGCCUGCAGCCUCCGAGAGCUUCCAACUGCCUGAUAGUGGCACUUAUUAGUUUGGAAAACUAGGAAAAUACUAAUAAUCAACAACCAAGGGGAAAGAGGAGGCAACCAGACAAAAGGAAGGCAGGAACGCAGCCGGAGAAAGGAGCGAGCGCGCCGCCUGCCCGCGCCCCCGCCUCCGCCCCCGCUCCUCUGGCCCCAGCAAAGACUGUUCACGGAUGGGACUGAAUCCCUUGGAGAACUCAGGAGACAACAGAAGACCUGCAAAAAUGUGUAGAGCUGGGAGCACGAGGACGGGUCCAUGAUCCACGUGAACACGGGGAGGCAGGGAAGACUUCAUGGAGGAGACUAGCUACCACAAUACUUCAACAUUGUCAGUUAAUGGACUUCACCAAUGAUGAUCCUUCAUGAUUAUGAAGAUGAUGAUGAUGAAAAAGAAGAAGAAGAAAAGGAAGAAGAAGAGGAAGAAAGAGAAGAAUUCUAUCUUCUAUUUAAAACUAUUUUUCUCCUCGGGAAUUGAGAUAGUUCAUAGGAAAACAUAGGUAGAGUCACCAUGAACUGGGAGCCAAAUGACAAUCUAAGAGUCAAAAAAGUUAAAAGUUACACGUGAUGGGUGAUAUUAGCCAUCUGGAAAAUUCUUUAGGGCUAAUCUCUAAAUCAUUCCAGAAGAAAAGUAGCCAUUAAAUUUCAUAAAUAGGAGGGUUUUGAUAACCCAAAAGAGAGAAGAUUUAGUGGAGAGUUAGGUUGGAAACAGGCAUACAGUGGGUUAGGGAGUGAGUGGGAGGUGGCGACAGGGGCAGAGCAAGGGUAACAACUGUUUCAAGGCACAUAGCCAGGAGUUCUGAUGCACUCUUGAGGGAAGAGAAGCAGGUGAAAUCUUUCUGGAUGGUAAUUAGGUAGCAGAUAAUAAAAGCCUUGAAUAUAUUCAUGUCUUGACCCAGUUAUUCAACUUCUAAGAAAUUAGCUUAGCGAAAUAACCAGACAUGUACAAAGAUUUAUAUACCAGGAAAUUCACUUAACCAAUGUUUUGUUUUAUUGUGAAAUACACCUUAUAUACAAAAGCAUGCACAAAACAUUGGAGUUUAUUUGAAAGAAUAGUAAUAAAGUAAGUACCUGUGUAGCCACCACUCAGGAUAUAAGGAAAACACUGCUCCCAAUUGCCCGGCUCUCUCCCACCAUGAGUAAUAAUUGCCCUAACCUUUGAACAAUCAUUUCUUCACUUUUCCUUUAUAAUUUUAUCACCUUUGAAUAUAUCUGUACAUAAUAUAAUGUUUAGUUUUGUUUGCUUUUGAUUUUAAUAUAAAUGCAAUCAUGCUAUUUGUAUUCUUCUAUAAUUUGCUUCUUUUGCUCUCCAUUAUGUGUUUAAG